AGUGAACGCUGGCGGUAGGCCUAACACAUGCAAGUCGAACGGCGGCACAGUAAGAGCUUGCUCUUACGGGUGGCGAGUGGCGGACGGGUGAGGAAUACAUCGGAAUCUACUUUUUCGUGGGGGAUAACGUAGGGAAACUUACGCUAAUACCGCAUACGACCUACGGGUGAAAGCAGGGGAUCUUCGGACCUUGCGCGAUUGAAUGAGCCGAUGUCGGAUUAGCUAGUUGGCGGGGUAAGGCCCACCAAGGCGACGAUCCGUAGCUGGUCUGAGAGGAUGAUCAGCCACACUGGAACUGAGACACGGUCCAGACUCCUACGGGAGGCAGCAGUGGGGAAUAUUGGACAAUGGGCGCAAGCCUGAUCCAGCCAUACCGCGUGGGUGAAGAAGGCCUUCGGGUUGUAAAGCCCUUUUGUUGGGAAAGAAAAGCAGCAGGUUAAUACCCCGCUGUUCUGACGGUACCCAAAGAAUAAGCACCGGCUAACUUCGUG
rnacentral:rRNA from 1 species